GACGAACGCUGGCGGCGUGCCUAAUACAUGCAAGUCGAGCGGACGAAUCGAAAGCUUGCUUUUGAUUCGUUAGCGGCGGACGGGUGAGUAACACGUGGGCAACCUGCCCUGUAGACGGGGAUAACACCGAGAAAUCGGUGCUAAUACCGGAUAACACGAAAUGUCGCAUGACGUUUCGUUGAAAGACGGCGCAAGCUGCCGCUACAGGAUGGGCCCGCGGCGCAUUAGCUAGUUGGUGAGGUAACGGCUCACCAAGGCGACGAUACGUAGCCGACCUGAGAGGGUGAUCGGCCACACUGGGACUGAGACACGGCCCAGACUCCUACGGGAGGCAGCAGUAGGGAAUCUUCCGCAAUGGACGAAAGUCUGAUGGAGCAACGCCGCGUGAGCGAAGAAGGCCUUCGGGUCGUAAAGCUCUGUUGUUAGGGAAGAACAAGUAACGCAGUAACUGGCGUUACCGUGACGGUACCUAACGAGAAAGCCACGGCUAACUACGUG
rnacentral:rRNA from 1 species